rnacentral:rRNA from 16 species
GGCUUAACACAUGCAAGUCGAGCGGUAACAGAUCUAGCUUGCUAGAUGCUGACGAGCGGCGGACGGGUGAGUAAUGCAUAGGAAACUGCCCAGUAGUGGGGGAUAGCCCGGGGAAACCCGGAUUAAUACCGCGUACGCCCUUCGGGGGAAAGCAGGGGAUCUUCGGACCUUGCGCUAUUGGAUGUGCCUAUGUCGGAUUAGCUAGUUGGUGGGGUAAGAGCCUACCAAGGCGACGAUCCGUAGCUGGCCUGAGAGGAUGAUCAGCCACAC